rnacentral:lncRNA from 1 species
GGGAAAGCCGACAGUGACAGGUGUUACCCAGCUCCCACGCAGCUGGAAAGGCUGGUCUCACUGUCAGCAUGCUCCCCCAACAGCAUCAAGUUUAUUUCCAGGCAGCAGGCGAGCAGGGCUGAGAACUUGUCCCAGGCUACAAGCCUCCCUGCUGACAACAGAAGCAGGGCUUUCAGGUUUUAUGCCUCUCUGCCUGCCACAGCUUCUGUGCUUGUAUCUGCACUCCCUGUUUGACCCCCUCCCCAGAUUCUGUCCAGGAAACUUCAUGUUCGGUAGAAAUUGUUAUAAAAUUCAACUGGAAGUUUUCCUCUCCCUCUGGUUUUUCCUCAAUUCCACUGGCAGCCCUCCCCAAGUUGCAAGAUAAAGACAGAAAAGGCUUCCCUGAGGACUGAGAGUGCCCACAGGGCUCUUGCUGCUGCUUUCUCUACCCCUAUAUUUUGUGCGGCUCUCAGCAUUUGUCUCAGCUCCAGGGAGAAGAGAAGGAAAAGCAGAUGAGUGAACAAGGGCAGAUGGUGCUGGAGAAUUCCAUCAAGUGGGCAUCAAGAAGGGACUGGAGGUUAAAACCUUUGGGAUAAAGAAGAAGAAAAAAAGACAAGCUGGUAAAAAGUAAGGUCUGGGGGGUGGAGGCAAGAAGGGGAGUUGCUAAAAACUCUAGAAUAAGCAGUAAGACAUCUUUCAAUAAAACUGCCCCUUCCCAGAUGGCACCUGGGCACUGUUUGCUGGGCACAAACAUGGCACUGUUUCCUAGGAGAUGAUUCCUCCAGUUCUUUAAGGUAGUAAUGAAUGACAACAAGAAGUUACUUCUCUAUGCUACACACGGUGUAGAAUCCAGAGCCUGACUGGCUGUGACGCGCCCAUGGUGACACCAAGGGGACUCUGCAUGGGCACAUCCCGGCCCUCCUCCCUGCAUGUUCUCCAAGCCAGGUCUUUGAAACCUCCAGUGAUGGGAAUGACAGAAUCUGGGAUGAUUUUCUUCUGUUUCUUAUCUAAAAAAACAACAAAAAGCUCAGCAUACACGGACUCACACAAACCUUUUGCUAGAGGCAGCUCUGUAGACUUAAGACGCUGUCAUUUUUCAGAAGAACCCAGCUUGCUUUGGAACUACAGUCAGCCCUGCAACCCACCCUCACCUUGGACCCUGCUGCUGCUGUCUGUAAAGGGUCUGGAUGAAGGAAGGGAGCCUCCAGCUUGUCGGCUGUACUUGCCCAGAAUUUAGCCUUUGCAACAUGGAGCUGCGGGGAUGGGAAAUGUUGUCCACUAGCCUUCCACAAUGCUGCGAUGAAUACACCUGUGCAUUCUUUUUUAGAACAAGUGUAAGAAUUCCUAUGUGGCUGGACGGUACUGCUGCCAUCUCGGCUCACUGCAACCUCC